rnacentral:rRNA from 1 species
GAUGAACGCUGGCGGCGUGCCUAAUACAUGCAAGUCGAGCGAACAGACGAGGAACUUGCUCCUCUGACGUUAGCGGCGGACGGGUGAGUAACACGUGGAUAACCUACCUAUAAGACUGGGAUAACUUCGGGAAACCGGAGCUAAUACCGGAUAAUAUAUUGAACCGCAUGGUUCAAUAGUGAAAGACGGUUUUGCUGUCACUUAUAGAUGGAUCCGCGCCGCAUUAGCUAGUUGGUAAGGUAACGGCUUACCAAGGCAACGAUGCGUAGCCGACCUGAGAGGGUGAUCGGCCACACUGGAACUGAGACACGGUCCAGACGCCUACGGGAGGCAGCAGUAGGGAAUCUUCCGCAAUGGGCGAAAGCCUGACGGAGCAACGCCGCGUGAGUGAUGAAGGUCUUCGGAUCGUAAAACUCUGUUAUUAGGGAAGAAUAAAUGUGUAAGUAACUAUGCACGUCUUGACGGUACCUAAUCAGAAAGCCACGGCUAACUACGU